UACGAAGGGGGCUAGCGUUGCUCGGAAUGACUGGGCGUAAAGGGCGCGUAGGCGGAUGGUACAGUCAGAUGUGAAAUUCCUGGGCUCAACCUGGGGGCUGCAUUUGAUACGUAUUGUCUUGAGUUCGGAAGAGGGUCGUGGAAUUCCCAGUGUAGAGGUGAAAUUCGUAGAUAUUGGGAAGAACACCGGUGGCGAAGGCGGCGACCUGGUCCGAAACUGACGCUGAGGCGCGAAAGCGUGGGGAGCAAACAGG
rnacentral:rRNA from 1 species